rnacentral:rRNA from 1 species
CGCGUGCAGGAUGAAGGCUUCGGGUUGUAAACUGCUUUUGUACGGAACGAAACGGUCCUUUCUAAUACAAGGGGCUAAUGACGGUACCGUAAGAAUAAGCACCGGCUAACUACGUGCCAGCAGCCGCGGUAAUACGUAGGGUGCAAGCGUUAAUCGGAAUUACUGGGGCGUAAAGCGUGCGCAGGCGGUUAUAUAAGACAGAUGUGAAAUCCCCGGGCUCAACCUGGGACCUGCAUUUGUGACUGUAUAGCUAGAGUACGGUAGAGGGGGAUGGAAUUCCGCGUGUAGCAGUGAAAUGCGUAGAUAUGCGGAGGAACACCGAUGGCGAAGGCAAUCCCCUGGACCUGUACUGACGCUCAUGCACGAAAGCGUGGGGACCAACAGGAUUAGAUACCCUGGUAUCCACGCCCUAAACGA